UAAGACUCCCUGGCGUUAUCCUUGAUGUACUGAGCUUCCACCGAGGAGAGGAAAUCCACCUCACCCUCUCUGCUUAGAGUUUCGAGAUGGGACACAAGUGCAAAGCUGAUUAGAUUGCUUAUCUGAGAGGCACCCACCUCAGCCCCAGGGCAUACGAAGGAUUCGAGUCAAAUUUACCACGGCCGUCGGAUUCGAUUGUAUUUCCCUUCCUGUCGCAUCCUGUGAAAUAUGAGUGAGGAAAGCACUCAAGCAAAAGCAGGCUGCAGCUUCUGGAGUCACGUUGUCCCCGUGGCAGCUCUGCUGUGUCAUUAGGUGGAUGGGUUGCAGCGCGGGUGACAGGCCAG